UGGGGAAUUUUGGACAAUGGGCGAAAGCCUGAUCCAGCAAUGCCGCGUGUGUGAAGAAGGCCUUCGGGUUGUAAAGCACUUUUGUCCGGAAAGAAAUCCUCUGGGUUAAUACCUCGGGGGGAUGACGGUACCGGAAGAAUAAGCACCGGCUAACUACGUGCCAGCAGCCGCGGUAAUACGUAGGGUGCAAGCGUUAAUCGGAAUUACUGGGCGUAAAGCGUGCGCAGGCGGUUUUGUAAGACGGAUGUGAAAUCCCCGGGCUUAACCUGGGAACUGCAUUCGUGACUGCAAGGCUAGAGUAUGGCAGAGGGGGGUAGAAUUCCACGUGUAGCAGUGAAAUGCGUAGAGAUGUGAAGGAAUACCGAUGGCGAAGGCAGCCCCCUGGGCCAAUACUGACGCUCAUGCACGAAAGCGUGGGGAGCAAACAGGAUUAGAUACCCUGGUAGUCCACGCCCUAAAACGAUGUCAACUAGUUGUUGGGGAUUCAUUUCCUUAGUAACGUAGCUAACGCGUGAAGUUGACCGCCUGGGGAGUACGGUCGCAAGAUUAAAACUCAAAUGAAUUGACGGGGUCAUAGCUGUUUCCU
rnacentral:rRNA from 1 species